AUCCCCUUGUACACCUUAAACCCUUUACCCCUACUGAGUGACUCUAUAAUUGUAUAGAAGCCCUUAUGCUAAAACUAGUAACAAGAAAUUGUAUUCUCCAAAAUAUAAGUAUAAACCAAAAUGGACAAACCAUUGGUAGUUAACACUAAUAAGUCUAAUAUAGUAAAACACAAGAAAACCCUAUAAUUCAUCUAUGUUAACCUUACACAAGAAUAUUUCUGGAAAGUUAAAAGAAAGGGAAGGAACUCGGCAAAUUUUAACCCCGCCUGUUUACAAAAAACAUCGCCUCUUGAAAAACUAUAAGAGGUCUAGCCUGCCCAGUGAUAAAAUUAAACGGCCGCGGUACCCUGACCGUGCGAAGGUAGCAUAAUCACUUGUUCUCUAAAUAAGGACUCGUAUCAACGGCAUCACGAGGGUUACACUGUCUCCCCCUUCUAAUCAGUGAAACUGACUUUCCCGUGAAGAGGCGGGAAUUAUUCUACAAGACGAGAAGACCCCAUGGAGCUUUAAACCCAAAGGCAACCUUUAUAUUCUUUACUUAAAAAUUCUUAGCUACUGCCUAUUGGUUUUAGGUUGGGGUGACCGCGGAGUAAAACUUAGCCUCCACGCCGAAUAGACCUUCAUCUUAAUCUCAGAGCUACCGCUCCAAGAAUCAAAAAUUUGACGCAGCCUGAUCCGAUUUCUCGAUCAACGAACCAAGUUACCCUGGGGAUAACAGCGCAAUCCAUUUUAAGAGCCCCUAUCGACAAAUGGGUUUACGACCUCGAUGUUGGA
rnacentral:rRNA from 1 species